rnacentral:rRNA from 1 species
UACGUAGGGUGCGAGCGUUAAUCGGAAUUACUGGGCGUAAAGCGUGCGCAGGCGGCGCGUUAAGACAGGUGUGAAAGCCCCGAGCUUAACUUGGGAAUUGCGCUUGUGACUGGCGAGCUGGAGUGUGGCAGAGGGAGGUGGAAUUCCACGUGUAGCAGUGAAAUGCGUAGAUAUCUGGAGGAACACCGGUGGCGAAGGCGGCAUCCUGGACCGGUAUUGACGCUGAGGCGCGAAAGCCAGGGGAGCAAACGGG